UCCCACUCUACCUAUUCCAAACAGGCCUUCUGAUGACUCAAGUUCCUCAUGCCUCCACCAAGAAACCAUGAAUGACGAAUUAUCAAGUGAUGAUGUGCUAUCCAGACAUGCCACUGCUAUUGUGAUGACUGCUAGAGAGAAACAUCAUCUCUCACAGAGUGGUGUGAAUGAUGUUGUGGCUGAGGUUCAGGCGUAUCAAGCUCAGUUACUGAACAGCUUGAGGAGUCAGCUACAAACAGUAUUCAACAGACAUGCAGGAAGUGAACUUCAGCGAGAAGCUUUGGGACUCUUUGACUCCUUUAAAGAUCCAUUUGCUGCAGUUUCAACAUCAUAUAGACAGGACAGUGUCAUAAAAGAAAAAUUCAAUUUUGUGGAAGCAGAAGAGGUUUCAGUCGGAUUAGCAGUAUGUCGUCAGAAAAGAAAAAAACAAAGAGACCUCGCAAUAAAAAAAAAAAUGUUUCCAUUAUAUACCCCUGAUAAAGAGUUUAGAACAAUUAAUGUCUCAUCCAAAAAUCUUUGCCAUGAUAAAUGGUGGAUCUCAGAAAUGCAGCAGUGGAUAUUUUUAUGACAUCAUAGAUGGUGAACUAAUGCUUUCACACCCUUUAUUUUCUUCUAGACCCUCUGCUUUACAGAUAAUUCUUUAUUCAGAUGAAAUCGAAAUUUGCAAUCCACUUGGGUCUCAAGCUUCAAAGAAUAAGUUGCUCAUGUUUUACUACACUUUGGGAAACAUUAAUCCAAAGUACAGGUCAAAAUUAGCUUCAAUCCGCCUUCUUGCUAUUGCAAAGCAAAGUGAACUCUCAGAAUGUGGAGUUGAUGCCAUAUUGGCAAGAUUGCAUGAGGACUUGGUAAAGCUAUAUAAUGGCGUGAAGAUUCAUCUUCCAUGUGGUGAACAUGAGAUAUAUGGAGCAGUGGUUUCCGUAUGUGGAGAUACUUUAGCUCAACAUGAGUUAUGUGGAUUUAAAGAGGGUGUGGGCUUUGCAUACAGUAAAUGCCGACAUUGUGAAUGUUCUUUUGAAGACAUGCAAAUGUUUUUUAAUGAUGAAAACUUUGAGCAAAGAACACUGGAAAGACAUAUUCGACAGUGUAGUGACAUUGAGAAAGCCAGUACUGAAUAUCUCAGGAACAGCCUUAAAACUACAUAUGGAAUAAACCGAAGGAGCAAAGUAAUGGAUUUCCCUGCCUUUAAUUUAAUCCAUCAAACUCCUCAAGAUAUAAUGCAUGUAAUUUUUGAGGGC